rnacentral:lncRNA from 1 species
CAUCUAAACUAUAAAAGAAUCUCAGCAUUUCAAAUCAAAAGCAAAUGCACAAAAAUCAAAUCCAGAUUAACUAAUCAUAAACUUCAAUUUCACAAACAGCGAUAGUGAAUUAAGCAAAAUCGAAGAAUCAUAGAGAGAGAGAAUGCAAUCAUGCAUAUACUGACCUUGAUGAUAACCUUGAUUUUCGAUCUGAGAUUUGAGAAAUGCAGUUAGAAAUGAAAAGGAAGAAGAAUCUAGAAGAAGUUAAAACCACCGUUAUCACUAGUAUUAAGUAUCAUCCACUCGCUACUUUGUGUGUUGUUUCUGAGAUUUGAGUCGAAAGAGUGAGUGCGAGUGUGUGAGUGUAAGCGUG